UAACAGAUUCGAAACAAAAAAGGAGAGAAAAGAUUGCCCAGGGGAGGCCAACCUUCAUCAAGGCUUGACAAUUGAGCAGAUACUGCAGAAUCUAGACCUUCCCAGACUGGGUGACAAGCCAUGCAUACUGCUCGUCAUUCAGUUAGCAGACCCUUGGCUUCUAGGCAUUGGUGACUCUGCUCAGAUACUCCAGCAUUCUGUGUGAAUAUCAGAAUUUUUAAGUAUGUGCCAUGACCUGAGAAAUGCUUCCACAUUGGAAGAGGAAAGACCAGAAGGAGGUUCUGUCACACAGAGAUGGGUAUUUGAGGCUCAGCAUACAGAGAUGAGAUACCAGAAAUGGAUGAGCCAGUCAGAGGAACGAGACGCCAUCUACCAAUGAGCCUGCUGAAGUUCCUGAAACCGCAGAUUCUUCCUCGUUAUUCUUCUUGCCCUGCCACAUGUACAUAGAGGAAUCUUCCUUCCCUUUUGAUUGGGCAGUGCCUGGGAGGGUCAGGGCUUGCUGGCUUCUCUUCAGCUGAUUUCUAGAUGCCUAUUUGUUCCUUGAGACAUGAGGGGGCCUGGAAACUUUGGAAUGAUAUUUAACAAAUGCUUCUACUAACUGAAGUCUCAAGGAAGUUGCUGUUGGUGAUUUAUUGAGAAGUAUAUUAGUCCUUACUGCCCCCUUUUUCAAUCAGCACCUACUGAUUACACAUUUAUCAUGCGUGAGACGCUUUUAAACACGAGGGAGGCUAAACAGGAAUAAAUGGGCUUCUCUCCAGGCCAGCCCACAUUCCCUUUCCCCCACGGAGUCUCUUGACACUCCCGGCCUCGGUUACACCAUCCUCCAUUGAACACUUGUCUGGCUUCACAUUCUCUUCUGUGAUCUAGUUUUAGCUAGAUAAUAGCUAAGAGAUGCUUGGAUAUUAAAUGUGGUUCUUCCAAGACAGUGCUUGGCAGGUUAAUUGUCAAUUAAUCUGAACCAGAUGGGCUUAAUCCGACUUGUAGAAAGAUUGAAAAAGGACCUGGACUCACCAAAUGUUCACUAGGCUGGAAACACUCUGAGGAAGACAACAGAGGUUCUCAGCCCUCAGGCAGGUUCUAAAUACGUAAAGGUCAGGCCUCAAGGCUUUCUGAGACGACUGUAUGAACGUGUUAACUUUGCCCAUAGGAUAUUCUUAAACCUACCUGCGGGGACAUUCCUCUUCCUUGAGGUACAUACAAGCCUGUGCUGGCCACAGACUAUGAAGGCAGACUCACAGGGUGCGUGCAUUGAUCUACCCUGGUUAGCCUCAGCUCACAUGGGGUUAGAGCAGCUUGUUUUGGGUCCUUCUCCAUGCCUCUAUAUGUUUUGUCUUUCCCCAGGGGUUAAUUCCCUUUUCUGGUGUCUGUGUUUUGUAACUUCUUCUGCAGCCAAGCUCUGAGGGCAUUAUACUCUGAAUGUAUCUUAUCCAGAGCUCAGUGCCUCAAUACUCUGCCCUUUUCUUUCGGGGGUGGGGGGGGGGAAAUCUCUAGUUUGGAGAUAUAGUGGUCUGUGUUCAAACAAAAACAAGCAAACAGACAAACAAACAUUUUAUUGAGUUUGUUCUUUGAUGAUUUCAUGUAAUGUAUAUUUUGAUUAUUAAUCCCCUUUCUAAUAAAUCUUCCAUGCUCAUA